rnacentral:misc_RNA from 1 species
AGAAGUCUUGGAGGAAUUCCGGAUGCAUAAAGCGGGGUGGACACCGGUAGUGAUGUCAUUUCGAAGGUAUUAUUUGUACCACGGAUAGUCUGGUGACGUCAUAAGUGGAUAUCCUUGCGCCAGAUCUUUAAGUAUCACGUGACAAAACGGUCACAUGGUUGUGAGGUGAGUGAAGGAUGAAAAACGUUUAUUUUUGUUUCGUCGAAAGAUCAUUGUGUUCGUGUUUGUUGACAAAAUAUCAUGGAUAUGCUUUAACAAUUAAAGGUAAUUUAUCUAUUGUUACGUAUAACAAAUAAGAUUUUUUCUACUUUAUCUAGAAUUUCUCUAGAAUUUAUCUGUUAUUAACACAAGCGUUAUAGAACGUUCGUUAACGAGUUACCGUCAGUUUCAGCUGUCAUUUUCUAAUUCGUUUUUUUUCUAAUUGUAUUUAAUUAUACGUUCUUUAAUAUUUUAAAGACCUAAUUAAAACAAAAAUAGGUCAUAGUUUGCGAUGAAUUCUUAUUUGCUUCCCAAGUAUCUAACAGCGACUACAUUGGG